UACGUAGGGUGCGAGCGUUGUCCGGAAUUAUUGGGCGUAAAGAGCUUGUAGGCGGUCUGUCGCGUCUGCUGUGAAAAUCCGGGGCUCAACCCCGGACUUGCAGUGGGUACGGGCAGACUAGAGUGUGGUAGGGGAGACUGGAAUUCCUGGUGUAGCGGUGAAAUGCGCAGAUAUCAGGAGGAACACCGGUGGCGAAGGCAGGUCUCUGGGCAUUAACUGACGCUGAGGAGCGAAAGCAUGGGGAGCGAACAGG
rnacentral:rRNA from 1 species